rnacentral:rRNA from 1 species
AUUGGACGCUGGCGGCAGGCCUAACACAUGCAAGUCGAGCGGAUGAAGGGAGCUUGCUCCUGGAUUCAGCGGCGGACGGGUGAGUAAUGCCUAGGAAUCUGCCUGGUAGUGGGGGAUAACGUCCGGAAACGGGCGCUAAUACCGCAUACGUCCUGAGGGAGAAAGUGGGGGAUCUUCGGACCUCACGCUAUCAGAUGAGCCUAGGUCGGAUUAGCUAGUUGGUGGGGUAAAGGCCUACCAAGGCGACGAUCCGUAACUGGUCUGAGAGGAUGAUCAGUCACACUGGAACUGAGACACGGUCCAGACUCCUACGGGAGGCAGCAGUGGGGAAUAUUCGACAAUGGGCGAAAGCCUGAUCCAGCCAUGCCGCGUGUGUGAAGAAGGUCUUCGGAUUGUAAAGCACUUUAAGUUGGGAGGAAGGGCAGUAAGUUAAUACCUUGCUGUUUUGACGUUACCAACAGAAUAAGCACCGGCUAACUUCGUG